UACGAAGGGGGCUAGCGUUGCUCGGAAUGACUGGGCGUAAAGGGCGCGUAGGCGGCUUGCACAGUCAGGCGUGAAAUUCCUGGGCUCAACCUGGGGACUGCGCUUGAGACGUGUGGGCUUGAGUGGGGAAGAGGGUCGUGGAAUUCCCAGUGUAGAGGUGAAAUUCGUAGAUAUUGGGAAGAACACCGGUGGCGAAGGCGGCAUCCUGGACCAUUACUGACGCUGAGGCGCGAAAGCUAGGGGAGCAAACGGG
rnacentral:rRNA from 1 species